rnacentral:rRNA from 1 species
AUUGAGCGCUGGCGGCAGGCCUAACACAUGCAAGUCGAGCGGAUGAAGAGAGCUUGCUCUCUGAUUCAGCGGCGGACGGGUGAGUAAUGCCUAGGAAUCUAUCCUGUAGUGGGGGAUAACGUUUCGAAAGGAACGCUAAUACCGCAUACGCCCCACGGGGGAAAGCGGGGGAUCUUCGGACCUCGUGCUAUAGGAGGAGCCUGCGUCGGAUUAGCUAGUUGGUGAGGUAAAGGCUCACCAAGGCGACGAUCCGUAGCUGGUCUGAGAGGAUGAUCAGCCACACCGGAACUGAGACACGGUCCGGACUCCUACGGGAGGCAGCAGUGGGGAAUAUUGCGCAAUGGGCGAAAGCCUGACGCAGCCAUACCGCGUGUGUGAAGAAGGCCUUCGGGUUGUAAAGCACUUUCAGUGGGGAGGAAAAGCUGGUGGCUAAUAUCCAUCGGCCGUGACGCUACCCACAGAAGAAGCACCGGCUAAUUCCGUGCCAGCAGCCGCGGUAAAAC